UACGUAGGGGGCGAGCGUUGUCCGGAUUUAUUGGGCGUAAAGAGCUCGUAGGCGGUUUGGUAAGUUGGAUGUGAAAUCUCCAGGCUCAACUUGGAGGGGUCAUUCGAUACUGCCAUGACUAGAGUUCGGUAGGGGAGUGUGGAAUUCCUGGUGGAGCGGUGAAAUGCGUAGAUAUCGGGAGGAACACCAGUGGCGAAGGCGACUUCCUGGCCUGUUCUUGACGCUGAGGCGCGAAAGCUAGGGGAGCAAACGGG
rnacentral:rRNA from 1 species